GCCCCUGUAGCUCAGGUGGAUAGAGCAGUGGUUUCCUAAACCGCGUGCCACAGGUUCGAGUCCUGUCAGGGGUACCA
rnacentral:tRNA from 1 species